CUACGGAGGGUGCAAGCGUUACUCGGAAUCACUGGGCGUAAAGCGCGCGCAGGCGGCUUGAUAAGUUGGAUGUGAAAGCCUACGGCUCAACCGUAGAACUGCAUCCAAAACUGUCAAGCUCGAGUCUGGGAGGGGAAGAUGGAAUUAGUUGUGUAGGGGUAAAAUCCGUAGAGAUAACUAGGAAUACCAAAAGCGAAGGCGAUCUUCUGGAACAGUACUGACGCUGAGGCGCGAAAGCGUGGGGAGCAAACAGGAUUAGAAACCCCAGUAGUCC
rnacentral:rRNA from 1 species